GAAGCUGUAGCUCAGUGGAAGAGCAUAAGAUUGCAACUGUUGAGGUAUCUUGGGGUCCCGUGUUCGAACCACGGCAGCUUCU